CUAGUACUCCCUCCGUUCGGAAUUACUUGUCUUAAAAAUGAAUGUAUCUAGAACUAAAAUACAUCUAGAUACAUCCAUUUCUACGACAAGUAAUUCCGGACGGAGGGAGUAUCAU
rnacentral:pre_miRNA from 1 species